rnacentral:rRNA from 1 species
AUUGAACGCUGGCGGCAGGCCUAACACAUGCAAGUCGAACGAGUGGCGGACGGGUGAGUAAUGCCUGGGAAACUGCCCGAUGGAGGGGGGUAACUACUGGAAACGGUAGCUAAUACCGCAUACCAUCGGCGGUGCCCAGAUGGGAUUAGCUGGUAGGUGGGGUAACGGCUCACCUGGGCGACGAUCCCUAGCGGGUCUGAGAGGAUGACCAGCCACACGGGAACUGGGACACGGUCCAGACUCCUCCGGGAGGCAGAGGUGGGGAAUAUUCCACAAUGGGCGCAAGCCUGCUGCAGCCAUGCCGCGUGUAUGAGGAAGGCCUUGGGGUUGUAAAGUCCUUUCAGCGGGGAGGCGUUACUCGAAGAAGAAGCACCGGCUAACUCCGUGCCAGCAGCCGCGGUAAUAC